CCUGGCUCAGGACGAACGCUGGCGGCGUGCCUAAUACAUGCAAGUCGAACGCUUCUUUUUCCACCGGAGCUUGCUCCACCGGAAAAAGAGGAGUGGCGAACGGGUGAGUAACACGUGGGUAACCUGCCCAUCAGAAGGGGAUAACACUUGGAAACAGGUGCUAAUACCGUAUAACAAUCGAAACCGCAUGGUUUUGAUUUGAAAGGCGCUUUCGGGUGUCGCUGAUGGAUGGACCCGCGGUGCAUUAGCUAGUUGGUGAGGUAACGGCUCACCAAGGCGACGAUGCAUAGCCGACCUGAGAGGGUGAUCGGCCACAUUGGGACUGAGACACGGCCCAAACUCCUACGGGAGGCAGCAGUAGGGAAUCUUCGGCAAUGGACGAAAGUCUGACCGAGCAACGCCGCGUGAGUGAAGAAGGUUUUCGGAUCGUAAAACUCUGUUGUUAGAGAAGAACAAGGAUGAGAGUAACUGUUCAUCCCUUGACGGUAUCUAACCAGAAAGCCACGGCUAACUACGUGCCAGCAGCCGCGGUAAUACGUAGGUGGCAAGCGUUGUCCGGAUUUAUUGGGCGUAAAGCGAGCGCAGGCGGUUUCUUAAGUCUGAUGUGAAAGCCCCCGGCUCAACCGGGGAGGGUCAUUGGAAACUGGGAGACUUGAGUGCAGAAGAGGAGAGUGGAAUUCCAUGUGUAGCGGUGAAAUGCGUAGAUAUAUGGAGGAACACCAGUGGCGAAGGCGGCUCUCUGGUCUGUAACUGACGCUGAGGCUCGAAAGCGUGGGGAGCAAACAGGAUUAGAUACCCUGGUAGUCCACGCCGUAAACGAUGAGUGCUAAGUGUUGGAGGGUUUCCGCCCUUCAGUGCUGCAGCUAACGCAUUAAGCACUCCGCCUGGGGAGUACGACCGCAAGGUUGAAACUCAAAGGAAUUGACGGGGGCCCGCACAAGCGGUGGAGCAUGUGGUUUAAUUCGAAGCAACGCGAAGAACCUUACCAGGUCUUGACAUCCUUUGACCACUCUAGAGAUAGAGCUUCCCCUUCGGGGGCAAAGUGACAGGUGGUGCAUGGUUGUCGUCAGCUCGUGUCGUGAGAUGUUGGGUUAAGUCCCGCAACGAGCGCAACCCUUAUUGUUAGUUGCCAUCAUUUAGUUGGGCACUCUAGCAAGACUGCCGGUGACAAACCGGAGGAAGGUGGGGAUGACGUCAAAUCAUCAUGCCCCUUAUGACCUGGGCUACACACGUGCUACAAUGGGAAGUACAACGAGUCGCAAAGUCGCGAGGCUAAGCUAAUCUCUUAAAGCUUCUCUCAGUUCGGAUUGUAGGCUGCAACUCGCCUACAUGAAGCCGGAAUCGCUAGUAAUCGCGGAUCAGCACGCCGCGGUGAAUACGUUCCCGGGCCUUGUACACACCGCCCGUCACACCACGAGAGUUUGUAACACCCGAAGUCGGUGAGGUAACCUUUUGGAGCCAGCCGCCUAAGGUGGGAUAGAUGAUUGGGGUGAAGUCGUAACAAGGUAGCCGUAUCGGAAGGUGCGGCUG
rnacentral:rRNA from 1 species